rnacentral:rRNA from 1 species
AGUGAACGCUGGCGGUAUGCCUAACACAUGCAAGUCGAACGGCAGCACAGUAAGAGCUUGCUCUUACGGGUGGCGAGUGGCGGACGGGUGAGGAAUACAUCGGAAUCUACUUUUUCGUGGGGGAUAACGUAGGGAAACUUACGCUAAUACCGCAUACGACCUACGGGUGAAAGCAGGGGAUCUUCGGACCUUUCGCGAUUGAAUGAGCCGAUGUCGGAUUAGCUAGUUGGCGGGGUAAAGGCCCACCAAGGCGACGAUCCGUAGCUGGUCUGAGAGGAUGAUCAGCCACACUGGAACUGAGACACGGUCCAGACUCCUACGGGAGGCAGCAGUGGGGAAUAUUGGACAAUGGGCGCAAGCCUGAUCCAGCCAUACCGAGUGGGUGAAGAAGGCCUUCGGGUUGUAAAGCCCUUUUGUUGGGAAAGAAAAGCAGCAGGUUAAUACCCCGCUGUUCUGACGGUACCCAAAGAAUAAGCACCGGCUAACUUCGUG